rnacentral:rRNA from 1 species
UACGUAGGGACCGAGCGUUGUCCGGAAUCAUUGGGCGUAAAGCGUGUGUAGGCGGCCUAGCAAGUCAGUUGUGAAAGCCCCGGGCUCAACCCGGGAAGUGCUUCUGAUACUGCUUGGCUUGAGUACUGGAGAGGAUAGUGGAAUUCCAGGUGUAGUGGUGAAAUACGUAGAUAUCUGGAAGAACACCGGUGGCGAAGGCGGGUCUCUGGGCAACAACUGACGCUGAGGAGCGAAAGCGUGGGGAGCGAACAGG